AGCAAAAUCUUCUCAGACUCUCUUGUCACCUCUAACAAGCUCUUAAAAAAAAAAAAAAACAUAGAUUCAAAAGCAAAGAGAAAAUAAUAUUGAGGCAUUUGGCACAUAUUAUGAAAUAAUGGUGUCUUUAUGCACAAACGAUACCGGAGCCAGUUCCAAGAUGGCAGCAAAUUGGAGAGGCAGAGGACAUGAAUCUCAGAAAUUGGGCAGAUUUCAGGUGCCACUGUUCUCUUCCACGUUGCCACAGUGCACGAUCAUAUUGAUGCAAACUCUGCUGAUGGAUUUGAGGGUAUCAUCGCUAUCUAAUCCUAGUGAGCUAUGAUGGAUCAAAGAUUGGAGAUGCUUUCAUGGACUGUGCUUUGAAAGAACACAUGCCAUUUCUUAAAAACUACACACAAUGAUGGAAGAAGGCUAACCUGUGCCUUAUUUCAAGUUUUAGAAUAGAUAUUUUCUUG